AGCAGCCGCGGGAACACCGGCGGCCCGAGUGGUGAUCGUGAUUAUUGGGUCUAAAGGGUCCGUAGCCGGUUUGGUCAGUCCUCCGGGAAAUCUGAUAGCUCAACUAUUAGGCUUUCGGGGGAUACUGCCAGACUUGGAACCGGGAGAGGUAAGAGGUACUACAGGGGUAGGAGUGAAAUCUUGUAAUCCCUGUGGGACCACCUGUGGCGAAGGCGUCUUACCAGAACGGGUUCGACGGUGAGGGACGAAAGCUGGGGGCACGAACCGGAUUAGAUACCCGGGUAGUCCCAGCCGUAAACGAUGCUCGCUAGGUGUCAGGCAUGGCGCGACCGUGUCUGGUGCCGCAGGGAAGCCGUGAAGCGAGCCACCUGGGAAGUACGGCCGCAAGGCUGAAACUUAAAGGAAUUGGCGGGGGAGCACAACAACGGGUGGAAGCCUGCGGUUUAAUUGGACUCAACGCCGGACAACUCACCGGGGGCGACAGCAAUAUGUAGGCCAAGCUGAAGACUUUGCCUGAAUCGCUGAGGGGUGGUGCAUGG
rnacentral:rRNA from 1 species